rnacentral:rRNA from 1 species
UACAGAGGAUGCAAGCGUUAUUCGGAAUUAUUGGGCGUAAAGUGUUUUUAGGCUGAUUUUUAAGUUUUACAUUAAAUUUUUAGAUUUAUUCUAAAUAAAGUACAAAAUACUAAAAAUCUAGAGGAUAGUUAAGGUACUGAGAACUUUCAGAGUAGCGGUAAAAUGUGUAGAUAUUGAAGGGAAUACCAAGGGCGAAAGCACUUUACUAGACUAUAUCUGACGCUGAUAAACGAAAGCUAGGGGAGCAAACAGG